CUUCACAUACAUGGCUCCAUGACAUGUGAGUCUCACGAAUUGAUAAUAUUAAUAAUAGAGAAUAUAUUCAGCAUUAUACUCUAUUAUACUCUAUUUCUAGAGUUCAUCAUGUGGUAUACAAUGGUACAAACAAAUUGUACUUUUGAUGCUUCGGUUUAAACAAGUAAAUGGUCAAAAGGUUUUUUUUAACACAGUACAGACGCAAGCGCUCAUAUACUCAUCCCUAUGAACGCACACACGCACACCCUACCCCUAUGAACACCUCCGAAAGACUGAGCCGACAUAUCAUCUUGAAAAUUAUGAAGUCACCGUAAGCACCUCGUCAUCGAUGAAAACGUCCCCUCCUACUGACUGCGUAUCGCCGGAAAUCCUGAAAUAAAUCCAGGAAUAAAUGCGAGUACCAGGACUUGAACCCUGGUGGGCUGGGAAUACCAAUCCCUCAAAUCAUCCAACCACAUGUUGGUUCGUAAUGGUCAAAAGGGCUAGACAUGCACGCACAUAAAGCAGUGUGUACAAAUACUUGGUUGAAUACCAACAGCCAUUGUAUAAAUACGUAUUCAGGUAUUCAUGUACCGGCCGGCCACGCAUGCAAAUACUCGUUACACCUAGCUAACUAUGAACGUAGUCUUCAUACAUGCAUGUGCUACGUAUUUGCCUUUCUGUCAACUAGAUGACCAGUUGCGCCAAAUGGCGCAAAGACCCGUUUAAAACAAUGUUCGUGUUGAAAAUAUUUGCACUUUUUCGUAACUGUAUAUUUGAGUACAAUUGAUAAGAACUUAUAACCCUAUAUAUAAAAGAAAUUAAAUGCAAAUAUUUUCUUAAGAUAAUAACGCCACAAAUUAGAUCAUCGGUAGGUCAAGAUAGUUGAGUCUGCAAUUAGGAACUCCGAGUAGCUGUAAACUUGCAUUAAAAAAGGAGUAAACACAAGUGACACAAUAAAAUGUACUCCCUAAGUUCCUAAAUAUAAGUCUUUUUAGACAUUUCAAAUGAACUACAACAUACGAAUGUAUGUAGACACGUUUUAGAGUAUAGAUUCACUCAUUUUGCUCCGUAUGUAGUCACUUGUUGGAAUCUCUAGAAAGACUUAUAUUUGGGAACGGAGGGAGUACUUAAUACAUGAACUUGUGAAAAUUGUGUACAGGAGAGUUUAAUAGAAAUAGUGAUCAAUUACAUCAUAUAAUUUGGUUUUAUACUCUUUUGUGUAUAUAUCAGAUCCGGUACAGAGAGAAGGAUACCUUAGGUUCCACGGCGUCACAAAUAGGAGGCUGCAGUCUGCAGACAGCGUAAUCUGAGCGGAAAGCAAAUCGCUGGCCUAGGAAAAGAAAGGAAUGGUCAGGGAAAAAAUAUAACUUCUACUUACUGCAAUGGAAAAGAAGGAAACGAUUGUUAGUACAUUAGUAUAUAGGUUAUUAGUACAUAGGUGUUUUUGCAUUAUCAAAAAAAAACUAAUCAACAACAGCAAAAUAAUCUUCCUAGCCUCCGUAACACAUGCCUCGACCUUAUGAGGCAUAACACGAGACCAAGUCUCUGUAACUGAAACAAAAACACACAUCAUAUUCCUCCCCAAGGUUUCUAAUUAUUCAACUACGAUGAUCUAAUCAGAUUCAUAUGCCACGACCAAACAGAGCAAGCACAUAGUAUGUUACUUGGUCCUUGUUAACUUCAAGCAGUUUAAACCAAAUACAUGUUAGUUUUUUUCCACUACCCACCAUGGAGCAAAAGCCCCAUGGUCCUUUAUUUCAAUCGAAGCAAAUAUAUACAGACAGAGAAUAACAGUCCCAAGAGGAAGGAAAGAAAGAGAAAAGAAAACCUACCUAAGAGAGCACAUCCAAAAAUCUAACGGAGGCUUUGGAUCCAAAAUGCAUGAACUGAGAAGUAGGUGAUCUAAAAUGCAUUUGUUUAAACUAAGCCAGCAAGAAUAACACAUUAGAUUUUAAUCUGGAUCCUUCAUGUAAAGAAAUAACAUAAAAAGAAUCAAGAAUUUCUCAAUUUAUACAAAGAGCAGUGAAAGUGAAACAUAGCAGGCACACCAAAUAAAUCUGGGCACAUAUAGAAAGAUUCCUGACAUUCUCACACAUAAAAAAGCAGCUGACCACCCGUUGCGCCGAUGGUGCAAAGGGCGACAACAA
rnacentral:lncRNA from 1 species